GACGAACGCUGGCGGCGUGCUUAACACAUGCAAGUCGAACGCUGAAGCUCAGCUUUUGUUGGGUGGAUGAGUGGCGAACGGGUGAGUAACACGUGAGUAACCUGCCUCCUUCUUUGGGAUAACGCCCGGAAACGGGUGCUAAUACUGGAUAUUCACUGGUCUUCGCAUGGGGGUUGGUGGAAAGGGUUUUUCUGGUGGGGGAUGGGCUCGCGGCCUAUCAGCUUGUUGGUGGGGUGAUGGCCUACCAAGGCUUUGACGGGUAGCCGGCCUGAGAGGGUGACCGGUAACAUUGGGACUGAGAUACGGCCCAGGCUCCUACGGGAGGCAGCAGUGGGGAAUAUUGCACAAUGGGCGCAAGCCUGAUGCAGCGACGCCGCGUGAGGGAUGGAGGCCUUCGGGUUGUGAACCUCUUGCGCUAAUGGUCAAGCCGCAACAAUGGUUGUGGUGAGGGUAGUGGGUAAAGAAGCGCCGGCUAACUACGUG
rnacentral:rRNA from 1 species